GAAAGCACAAUACAGCUCUUUGAAAAGAAAAGAGAAAAAGAGAAGAGGAAAACAAAGGGUUGAGAAAUGCUCUAAACAAAUAUUUAAAAAAUGUGCCGACAGUGAUGCUGGGACGAGUGGAAUAAAGCAAGGUAAGAAGUGCAG